rnacentral:rRNA from 1 species
AUUGAACGCUGGCGGAAUGCUUUACACAUGCAAGUCGAACGGCAGCACGGACUUCGGUCUGGUGGCGAGUGGCGAACGGGUGAGUAAUACAUCGGAACGUGCCCAGUCGUGGGGGAUAACGUAGCGAAAGCUACGCUAAUACCGCAUACGAUCUAAGGAUGAAAGCGGGGGAUCGCAAGACCUCGCGCGAUUGGAGCGGCCGAUGGCAGAUUAGGUAGUUGGUAGGGUAAAGGCCUACCAAGCCGACGAUCUGUAGCUGGACUGAGAGGAUGAUCAGCCACACUGGGGCUGAGACACGGCCCAGACUCCUACGGGAGGCAGCAGUGGGGAAUUUUGGACAAUGGGCGCAAGCCUGAUCCAGCCAUUCCGCGUGCAGGAUGAAGGCCUUCGGGUUGUAAACUGCUUUUGUACAGAACGAAAAGGCUCUGGUUAAUACCCGGGGCUCAUGACGGUACUGUAAGAAUAAGCACCGGCUAACUACGUGCCAGCCGCCGCAGUAA